rnacentral:rRNA from 1 species
AGUGAACGCUGGCGGUAGGCCUAACACAUGCAAGUCGAACGGCAGCACAGUGAGAGCUUGCUCUUACGGGUGGCGAGUGGCGGACGGGUGAGGAAUACAUCGGAAUCUACUUUUUCGUGGGGGAUAACGUAGGGAAACUUACGCUAAUACCGCAUACAACCUACGGGUGAAAGCAGUGGAUCUUCGGACCUUGCGCGAUUGACUGAGCCGAUGUCGGAUUAGCUAGUUGGCUGGGUAAAGGCCCACCAAGGCUACGAUCCGUAGCUGGUCUGAGAGGAUGAUCAGCCACACUGGAACUGAGACACGGUCCAGACUCCUACGGGAGGCAGCAGUGGGGAAUAUUGGACAAUGGGCGCAAGCCUGAUGCAGCCAUACCGCGUGGGUGAAGAAGGCCUUCGGGUUGUAAAGCCCUUUUGUUGGGAAAGAAAAGCAGCAGGUUAAUACCCCGCUGUUCUGACGGUACCCAAAGAAUAAGCACCGGCUAACUUCGUG